rnacentral:rRNA from 1 species
UACAGAGGUCUCGAGCGUUGUUCGGAUUCAUUGGGCGUAAAGGGUGCGUAGGUGGCGAGGUAAGUCGGAUGUGAAAUCCCGGGGCUCAACCCUGGAACUGCAUUCGAUACUGCCCUGCUUGAGUACUGGAGAGGAGAUUGGAAUUUACGGUGUAGCAGUGAAAUGCGUAGAUAUCGUAAGGAAGACCAGUGGCGAAGGCGGAUCUCUGGACAGUUACUGACACUGAGGCACGAAGGCCAGGGGAGCAAACGGG